rnacentral:SRP_RNA from 1 species
GCCGAGCUCAUUAGCGGGAGCUUGUAACCCGAGCGGGGGGCUUUAAGGUGGUGUGAACGUUGCCGUAGCGCUGUGGGCCUGGCCCGGUUGUGCUUCUUCCAAGUUGGUAGUGGACCCGCUUGGGGCCUGUCCGAAAGCUAGGCGUCACGGGCUAUAAUGCGGCAGGCAUUGCGUGAGGCUGGUUUAACAGAGCAGCGAAAACUGCCCGCCUCCAACGGUGGAAGGAUAACGGGCCGCUGCAUAACUGGGCCGCUUGGGUCUCCCAGCCUACUCCAACGAACCACUAUCUUU